AGAGUUUGAUCCUGGCUCAGAAUCAACGCUGGCGGCGUGCCUCAGACAUGCAAGUCGAACGCGAAAGUUCCCUUCGGGGAGCAAGUAGAGUGGCGCACGGGUGAGUAACACGUAGGUAAUCUACCUUUGGAUGGGGAAUAACAACCGGAAACGGUUGCUAAUACCGCAUAAUGCAGCGGCACCUAAUGGUGACAGUUGUUAAAGCGGGGGAUCGAAAGACCUCGCGUCUGAAGAGGAGCCUGCGGCGGAUUAGCUAGUUGGUAAGGUAACGGCUUACCAAGGCAGUGAUCCGUAGCCGGCCUGAGAGGGCGGUCGGCCACACUGACACUGACAUACGGGUCAGACUCCUACGGGAGGCAGCAGUCGGGAAUUUUGGGCAAUGGGCGAAAGCCUGACCCAGCAACGCCGCGUGAAGGAUGAAAUCCCUCGGGAUGUAAACUUCGCAAGAACGGGAAGAAUAGGUCUGUGCUAACACCACUGGCGAUGACGGUACCGUUUGUAAGCUCCGGCUAACUCCGUGCCAGCCGCCGCGGUAAUAC
rnacentral:rRNA from 1 species